rnacentral:rRNA from 1 species
CCUUGGGUGACGAGUGGCGGACGGGUGAGUAAUGUCUGGGAAACUGCCCGAUGGAGGGGGAUAACUACUGGAAACGGUAGCUAAUACCGCAUAACGUCGCAAGACCAAAGAGGGGGACCUUCGGGCCUCUUGCCAUCGGAUGUGCCCAGAUGGGAUUAGCUAGUAGGUGGGGUAACGGCUCACCUAGGCGACGAUCCCUAGCUGGUCUGAGAGGAUGACCAGCCACACUGGAACUGAGACACGGUCCAGACUCCUACGGGAGGCAGCAGUGGGGAAUAUUGCACAAUGGGCGCAAGCCUGAUGCAGCCAUGCCGCGUGUAUGAAGAAGGCCUUCGGGUUGUAAAGUACUUUCAGCGAGGAGGAAGGUGUUGUGGUUAAUAACCGCAGCAAUUGACGUUACUCGCAGAAGAAGCACCGGCUAACUCCGUGCCAGCAGCCGCGGUAAUACGGAGGGUGCAAGCGUUAAUCGGAAUUACUGGGCGUAAAGCGCACGCAGGCGGUCUGUCAAGUCGGAUGUGAAAUCCCCGGGCUCAACCUGGGAACUGCAUCCGAAACUGGCAGGCUAGAGUCUUGUAGAGGGGGGUAGAAUUCCAGGUGUAGCGGUGAAAUGCGUAGAGAUCUGGAGGAAUACCGGUGGCGAAGGCGGCCCCCUGGACAAAGACUGACGCUCAGGCACGAAAGCGUGGGGAGCAAACAGGAUUAGAUACCCUAGUAGUCCACGCCGUAAACGAUGUCUACUCGGAGUUUGGUGUCUUGAACACUGGGCUCUCAAGCUAACGCAUUAAGUAGACCGCCUGGGG